rnacentral:rRNA from 1 species
GACAGAGGGUGCAAACGUUGUUCGGAAUUACUGGGCGUAAAGCGAGUGUAGGCGGCUAUGUAAGUCGGGCGUGAAAUCCCACGGCUCAACCGUGGAAGUGCACCCGAAACUGCGUAGCUAGAGUCCUGGAGAGGAAGGUGGAAUGCUUGGUGUAGAGGUGAAAUUCGUAGAUAUCAAGCGGAACACCGGUGGCGAAGGCGGCCUUCUGGACAGUGACUGACGCUGAGACGCGAAAGCGUGGGGAGCAAACAGG